rnacentral:misc_RNA from 1 species
AAGUCGUAACAAGGUUUCCGUAGGUGAACCUGCGGAAGGAUCAUUAACACGUAUCCAAACGUUAAAACCCAUGCUCUUGUAACCGCGUAGUUCGCAAUCUCUGAUAAAUCAUAGCCCGGAAAGUUGUAGUGAUUCAGAGACCUCUGGCUACGUGCGAACAUUGGAACAGUUACAAUCGAGCGGUAGUUCUAUAGGCAAUGUUUCCUCAAGCGGUCUACAGGAAUCGUAGAAGCGCUAUCCUUGCACAAUCAAUGACACCGGACACUCGGGCAGGAGCUUUGCCAAAGGGUCCCCAUGCCCCCUAAUAUCCCCACAGUUUAAUGUGAAGCUCAGGAUAUCUUGGUUCUC